GAGAUGACUUGUGAUACUGAAGCAGCUGCUUAGCCUGCUUUGUACGAACUUGUUCGAUAACUCUAAAAGGGUACUCAUUUCUUGUGGAAUGUGAGGGACUAGACCAAAAUCUUGUUUCAGAUCCCUAGCUCGGGCUCUAAUAUCAAGAAAAAAACAUGGAACUGAGCCUUUUUAACUUCAGAAAAUCUUUGCAGAAUCCACUAUUUCGUUGCAUCCAAUGCGCACAUGACGUGUAGACCGGUUCACUAACACCACUGAACCGGUUUGCUCCGUUCUGUCUCUUAACCCUCAUUCCCUUCAUUCAAGAAUUCCCCCGCCCCCCCGACCCCAAGCCCUCAAAGCUCACCUGAACAUCAGCCAUUGAAGCCAAGCACAGCCAUCGACCUCAGCCAAGCAUGACCUCCCAACCACAACCUCAGCCCUCCCCACCACGACCUCAGCCUUCCCGAGGAAAUCAAUCCCCAAGCCCUUGGUCCCUCAGUCCACCAACGAAGCCUCAGUCCAUCAACGUGAAGCUGCCCUCAGUCCACCGAAACCCUCAGAUCUACGGGAGGAUGUUGCCUCUCAUGGCUUUGCACAAACCUCUCUCUCGGCAGCUCUAAACCAACCCCACCAAUUUCUUGCAUGUACAUGCUUAAAGACUAAGCCCUCCUGUCGGGAAGUAUAAGAAAACCUUCCAGGAUCUUCUCCAAAAGCAGGAAGGUGAUCAGUCAAUGUGGGAAUACCCAUUUGCUGUAGGUGGUGUGAACAUCACAUUCAUGCUUAUUCAAAUGCUUGAUCUGGAAGCAGGCGGUGAUGAAAUCGACCCGUCAUCAGCUGGAACAAGAGCAAUUGCUUGAAGGAAUAACAAGGUUGGAACAGUUGCCAUCAUACGGCCUUCUUUCCCAAGAGCUAUUGUGAAGGCCUACUCAAGACCAUCUCUUCGAUGUGAUCACAAAAUCAAUUGGCCUUGCAGCAGCAGUUUUAGCUAUUAAAUUCUUAUGGUGGAUCGAUCAUGUUGGUGCUUUGUAUUGUAUUAAUAGAAAAAUUGUAAAUGGAUCCUUUAGCCAUAAUUAUAAUUGUCGAAUCUAUAUGAAUAUUUUUUAAUAAAUGUGUGCUUUGUAAGAUUUGAGUAUCACUAUGGAUGUUAAAUUAUUUGAUUUGG